rnacentral:lncRNA from 1 species
UGCUGGGGAGACACAGGAGUAUGGAAAACCCGUCUGACUGUGGGAUCUCCUGCUGUAGAUCUGCAGAAAGCCAUUUCCUGACCACUUGCCUGUCGUGUAUGCGGGAUUGAAAUGGCUUUUAUUUUGCACAGGCUGAAGAUGGUGAAUUGAAACAACCAUAAUAAGAGUGGCAGCCAAAAACAAGGACAUUUACAAAGGAUAGUUAUUGCUUAGAUUAUGAAUAUCAAAUUUCUAUUGACAUGAAAAAAUUACAUCUUACAGAGAUAUUAUAAAUGUUGUCAUUCACAAUGAAGCAUAACAGAAAAGAUUUUACUCUCAGCUGCCUGUAGAAUUAAGUCACAUGAGCCAUUCUUCAGAGAAAUGUGAAGCUGAAACUUAGAAGGAUGCAAAUUUCUAUGUAUUGGUUCAACACUAGCAUGGAGAAUUGCUAUAUAGGAAAGACCAGUGGGGAAUGUAAAGUUCUCGGGGCAGAAAGAGUUUCCAGUUCCCCACUCACUUGUUCAGCUUCACUCAAUGAAGAAUGUCCCUGCCAGCCCCGUGGAGGAUGCUGUCUGAGACCUGAUCUUACGAGGAGGAGGAGGAGGAGGGCAUGGAAGUGGAGCUCAGAGGUGGAGAUGGCAUCACAAGCUCACCAGAAGUCAUAGGCAAUUUGAGGAAAAUCAGGGCCUCAGAGUUCCAAUACACAAUCCUAGUUAGGUAAAGGCAAACAAAACCAAGCAUUAAAAUAGAAAACCAGGGUUUGUUUAGCAAGGACAGAACGGCAGUAAAGAGAGAAAUGAGAUGUGGAUAAAAGGAUGCCUAUACCAAAACAGUCUCAGAAGUGAGGAAAAAUUGUCCUCUUGAUAGCCUCAAGGUCAUUAAAAAAACAGAAAAAAGAAAAAAGGGAGGUUUUACUGAGUAGCUGUCUACCAUAAAUCUAUAAUAAAACAAGGGAAUUUCUAUCA